rnacentral:lncRNA from 1 species
CUAUGACUGCUCAUUCGAGGGGGAGCUUACGUAGUUGUACUCUUUUUACCUUACUAUGGUUUUUCCCAUUGGGUUUUCCUAGAAAGGUUUUUAACGAGGCAACAUAGACGUUAAGCGAGAGUGGAUGGUGACACCGGUCCCCAAGGGGGAGUGUUAUGAAAGAUUAGCCGCAAACGUUGAAAAAUAUAAAAGAUAUGGGGCCCGCUGCACUAUUUGCACAGUGAAUUUCUCUUCUAUAUAAACGAUCGUUUCGAUCGAUUGUAAUCACACCAUUCCUUCUUCUUCUAAUAACACAUCCUCUCUUGCUAUCAGUGUUAUCUUCUCAUACGGGUAUAAAAUUUUGCCCUUAUUUAAAUUUCUUCGAUACAA